GGUGCUGGAUAUACACACUCCAUGAAAGCAGUUGUCCCAGGUGCUGGAUAUACACACUCCAUGAAAGCAGUUGUCCCAGGUGCUGGAUGAAGCUGUUCUACAUUGUUUUACGCCUUGAGCCACACAAUGCCUUGUGUUGUGACAGAGUGAGUCAGUUCAACUGUCUCAAUCUACUAUACAGCUAAGGUCAGAGUUCGGGGGGACAACACUAGACACAAAGAGCUGCAAUAAUUAUACUGCAGCAACUCCCAAACAUUAUUAUUUAUUUGACCAGGAAGGGCUCAUUGAGAUUUGAAAUCUCUUUUUCAAGAGCGUCCUGGCAAAGAUGAGCAGCACCAAGUCAUUACACCAUAACAGACAAACUACAAGUAAUCUAGUAAAAACCACAGGGAUAUAACAAAAUCAUAAAACAACAAAGGCAUUCCAAGGCGAUGGCGCAGAGUACAUAAAAGCCCUUUUACCAAAUUCAGUUUGGACAUUUGGAACAGUUAGCAGGAUUAAGUCCUGCGAACGAAGAGAGUACCCACCACAUUUCUGGGGAAAAAAUGCCCAAAUAAAAUGGUAAUAAACAUUACUUUACCAAUGCAACUACAUUGACUUUGUUGUCAACAUCUUCAGCACAAUGUCCACAUUUGACCUUAUAUAUCCAGGUUGUUGAGGAUGCUACCUUGUUAAGACUUUAACUUCCAACAUAUGGUGAACCUAUAUGACAACAUUAUUUCUAAAGUUAUUACACUAAGAUCAUUUAUUGUGUAUAAUAAUUAAUUUGUGGCAUUUUAUAAAAUGUUCUGACCUGCAAACAAAUCAAAGUGAUUGACAGUACCUUUAUAUGCAGAUUGCAGCGCCUAUUCAAUUUUAUUAAGCUAAUAGAUCCAGGCAUGCAAUCUGAUCUAUUUAAUUCACUGUAUGCAAACUACUGGGUUGCACUUGGCUUUUCUCAGUGAAUAUCCUUCAAGUCACACCAACUGAAAUGUAAUUGAAAGAUUCAUAGGUCAAGUCAAUUAUGCAUUGUAUUGCUGAAGGAAAUGCAGUAUUUUCUCAGCUGAGAAACAGGGUCAGUGCUCACACUCGUUCAAUCUCCAGGGUAUUCUUCAUCUAUUUCCUCCUUUUUCCACGCAGUAUUGAAAUGUUCAGCUACAUGUACUGGGUUUUAAUUGUUCACAGUUUACUGCUCAGUCAAUCUGUCAACUUGAGAUGUUUUGUGCAUAUUAUGUUAUUUUUAUUCUUGAAUGGACUUGCCUCGUGUUUUAUUUCCUCCAUUUGUCUUUGUUCAAUAUUUUUUUUUACAUUUUGUUCAGUAACAUUUUCAACAAACUCCACACACAUUGCUUUGCUGUGGGCAUUGAAGUGAUAUUUCAUUUCAAUAAAAUAAAAGAGAAAUUAUUGAUUUUAGUUGUAGGGUUAAACUACAUUUAUUCACUGACUUGGAUGAAUUAAUACUAUAUCAGUGUUGAACAUUGUCCCAAAUACUGUAUAUCCCAGUUUCACUCCACAACACUCUUAUCCAAAGCAACUUACAGGAGCAAUUAGGGUUAAGUGCCUUGCAUAAGUGAACAUCGACAGAUUUUUCUCCUAGUCAGCUCAGGGAUUUGAACUAGUGGCCUUGUGGUUACUGGCCUAACACUCUUAACCACUAGGCUACCUGCACCGGCUACAGUACUGUACACCAGACAAUAACUACUAUGGCUCCUCAUGACCAACAUGUACCUUAUGGAUCCCCCUCCCUUUGGCGCUCUCAUACUAAUGUCCCCCAUCCUGUCUCAUUCUACUUGCCUGUCUGUCUGUUCGAGAGUCUUAACCAGGCUCUGUUCACUCCAACAACCACUGACUGUUUUGGAUCAUAGUACAGUAUGGCAUUUUGUAACUACUGUAGUCUCAAUAUUAAGUUAAAGGAUUUUCUCUCAACAAGGGUUCUAUAGGUCUUAACAGUUGGUGCUAAAGUGUGUGGUUUAGCACCAUCUAAUAUUCAACACUGUUUCUGGAUGUACCCAUUUGCACCCAUGCAGUUAGAUUGUAAACUGAGUUACCUGUAGUGAUUUCACUCCUAGUUGGUCUGAUUGGCUUCAUUCACAACACUGUGCUGUACCAUACUGUACCGGAAAAGAGUGUCUGUUAAAUGACAACAAUGUACAAUGUACUGUAUGCCUCCACCUGCUGGUUCUGCAACUCCCAUGCACAUCUCUCAGAUUUAGUGAGAGAUGUUUUCCCUUUGUUUUUGACUGUUGUCUUGUUUUAUUGUGAAGAUCAUACUUUGUGUUGGCUGGACCAACCAUGUUUAAUGUGUUUGACUUGUUGCAUGUUUCAUUCAUGUUCACUACUGUUCUAAAGUUUGGGGUCACUUCGAAAUGUCCUUGUUUUUCAAAGAAAAGCACAUUUUUCAGAAAUACAGUGUAGACAUUAUUAAUGUUGUAAAUGACUAUUGUAGCUGGAAACGACUAUUUUUUGUUAUGGAAUAUCUACAUAAGUGUACAGAGGCCCAUUAUCAGCAUCCAUCACUCCUGUGUUCCAGUGGCACGUUGUGUUAGUUGAUCCAAGUUGGUCCUUUUAAAAGGCAGAGUUGCAAAGAAAAAGCCAUAUCUCAGACUGGCCAAUAAAAGAUUGAGAUGGGCAAAAGAACACAGACACUGGACAGAGGAACUCUGCCUAGAAGGCCAGCAUCCCAGUCGCCUCUUCACUGUUGACGUUGAGACUGGUGUUUUGCGGGUACUAUUUAAUGAAGCUGCCAGUUGAGGACUUGUGAGGAGUCUGUUUCUCUAACUAGACACAAAUGUACUUGUUCUCUUGCUCAUUUGUGCACCGGGGCCUCCCACUCCUCUUUCUAUUCUGAUUAGAGCCAGUUUGCGCUGUUCUGUGAAGGGUGUAGUACACAGCGUUGUAUGAGAUCUUCAGUAUCUUGGAAAUUUCUCACAUGGAAUAGCCUUCAUUUCUCAGAACAAGAAUAGACUGAUGAGUUUCAGAAGAAAGUUCUUUGUUUCUGGCCAUUUAGAGCCUAUAAUCAAAGCCACAAAUGCUGAAGCUCCAGAUACUCAACUAGUCUAAAGAAGGCCAGUUUUAUUGCUUUUUUAAUCAGCACAACAGCUUUCAGCUGUGCUAACAUAACUGCAAAAAUGUUUUUCUAAUGAUCAAUUAGCCUUUUAAAAUGAUAAACUUGGAUAAGCUAACACAAUGUGCCACUGGAACACAGGAGUGAUGGUUGCUGAAAAUGGGCCUCUGUACUCCUAUGUAGAUAUUCCAUUUUAAAAUCUGACGUUUCCAGCUACAAGAGUCAUUUACAACAUUAACCAUGUCUACACUGUAUUUCUGAUCAAUUUGAUGUUAUUUUAAUGGUCGAUAAAAUGUGCUUUUCUUUCAAAAAGGACAUAUCUAAGUGACCCAAAACUUUUGAACAGUAGUGCAAGGCUGUGUGUGGUUUGUUUUCCAUUUGUGUUGUGCAUGCUGUUCCAAAAGAAACGCUUUUAAAAAACAAUGAAACCCAAGUUGCAUGUGUCCUAAGUUACUUAAUACUGUGGUAUUCUAUCGCCAUGAGUAUAACAUGCAACUGAUUAAGAAGCAAAACAUAUUUCAUUCUCACAUAACAUCUGCUUAUCAUUCUAAUUUUCCCCUGAAAGUAUUUUGUAAAAAUGAUAAUUACGUAUUUUGCAGAGCACACAAUUCCUCUGUAUAUGCUGUUUAUUUCUUAAUACAGUUAUCUUAGCAGUGCUGUUUCAUCCAGG
ensembl:lncRNA